rnacentral:misc_RNA from 1 species
CCCCCCUCACUUAUCUCCCUGUACUCUCCAUGUCCUUGCUUCUUUAGGGCUUCUCGUUUCUCAACUUCUCUCUUCAGAGCUGCAAUCCUGUCCGCAUGCAGUUUUUCCAGCUCAGGAUCAUCCAUCAACUCAUCGAGGUCAACCUCUUGGUUGAUAGAACUUGAUGUCUGCGCUUUAUCUUGAGCAAUCAAUUCCUUCUGAUAAUCACGAGCAGCCGCUGCCAUAACAUUGCCAAAAGCUAGGUUAGAUAAAGUUGAU